GAUCAUGGCUCAGGAUGAACGCUAGCUACAGGCUUAACACAUGCAAGUCGAGGGGCAGCGGGAUUGAAGCUUGCUUCAAUUGCCGGCGACCGGCGCACGGGUGAGUAACGCGUAUCCAACCUUCCGUACACUCAGGGAUAGCCUUCGAAGAAAGAUUAAUACCUGAUGGUAUGGACUGAGAUUGCAUGAUAGCAUCAUUAAAGAUUUAUCGGUGUACGAUGGGG
rnacentral:rRNA from 1 species